rnacentral:rRNA from 1 species
GCAGCAGUAGGGAUCUUCCGCAAUGGGCGAAAGCCUGACGGAGCAACGCCGCGUGAGUGAUGAAGGUCUUCGGAUCGUAAAACUCUGUUAUUAGGGAAGAACAAAUGUGUAAGUAACUAUGCACGUCUUGACGGUACCUAAUCAGAAAGCCACGGCUAACUACGUGCCAGCAGCCGCGGUAAUACGUAGGUGGCAAGCGUUAUCCGGAAUUAUUGGGCGUAAAGCGCGCGUAGGCGGUUUUUUAAGUCUGAUGUGAAAGCCCACGGCUCAACCGUGGAGGGUCAUUGGAAACUGGAAAACUUGAGUGCAGAAGAGGAAAGUGGAAUUCCAUGUGUAGCGGUGAAAUGCGCAGAGAUAUGGAGGAACACCAGUGGCGAAGGCGACUUUCUGGUCUGUAACUGACGCUGAUGUGCGAAAGCGUGGGGAUCAAACAGGAUUAGAUACCCUGGUAGUCCACGCCGUAAACGAUGAGUGCUAAGUGUUAGGGGGUUUCCGCCCCUUAGUGCUGCAGCUAACGCAUUAAGCACUCCGCCUGGGGAGUACGACCGCAAGGUUGAAACUCAAAGGAAUUGACGGGGCCCCC